rnacentral:rRNA from 1 species
GUCCACGCCCUAAACGAUGUCAACUGGUUGUUGGGUCUUCACUGACUCAGUAACGAAGCUAACGCGUGAAGUUGACCGCCUGGGGAGUACGGCCGCAAGGUUGAAACUCAAAAGGAAUUGACGGGGACCCGCACAAGCGGUGGAUGAUGUGGUUUAAUUCGAUGCAACGCGAAAAAACCUUACCCACCUUUGACAUGUACGGAAUUUUCCAGAGAUGGAAUUAAGUGCUCGAAAAGAGAAACCGUAAACAACAGGUGCUGCAUGGCUGUCGU